GAAGGGUUUGGCCUGAAGCAUAGCAGGCCCCUUCAAAGCAAGGCCACAGUGGGAGAAUAAAAUAGGAGACCCUUCGGAAGCUCCAAAGAAUUCCCAGAAGCAAAGCAAGACUGCUUCCCAUAGGCCUAAUAGCUAUGUGCCUGUCUUUAAUAUUUGAGGACACAGAUGCAUUUGGAAACUAGAACAUUGCAUUCUGAGAGCCAGCAAUCCAUACCUUACCUUGAGAUAAUUUAUGGAGAAAGCAACAACAUUGUCAGAAGCCUAUAAGUCAUAGGAAAUUUCUACUGUCUUCUAAAACCUGAAGAUGCAAUUAUCUAGCUGUAUGUUAUCAAAGGCUAUGCUCAUCACAGCUGCAGUAAAUAAUUUCUCUUUC